UACGUAGGGUGCUAGCGUUGUUCGGAAUCAUUGGGCGUAAAGCGCGUGUAGGCUGCUAGAUAAGUCCAUUGUGAAAUCCCUGGGCUCAACCGAGGAAGUGCAGUGGAAACUAUCUAGCUAGAAGACGGCAGAGGAAGGUGGAAUUCCAAGUGUAGAGGUGAAAUUCGUAGAUAUUUGGAGGAAUACCGGUGGCGAAGGCGGCCUUCUGGACCGCUCUUGACGCUGAGACGCGAAAGCGUGGGUAGCAAACAGG
rnacentral:rRNA from 1 species